rnacentral:rRNA from 2 species
GCUGGGUUCAGAACGUCGUGAGACAGUUCGGUCCCUAUCUGCCAUGGGUGUAGAAGAAUUGAGAGGAGUUGCCCCUAGUACGAGAGGACCGGGGUGAACGUACCACUGGUGGACCGGUUGUAGCGCCAGCUGCAGUGCCGGGUAGCUAUGUACGGAAGAGAUAACCGCUGAAAGCAUCUAAGCGGGAAACUCGCCUCAAAACUAGUUCUUCCUUUAGGGUCGUGGUAGACUACCACGUUGAUAGGCUGGAUGUGGAAGCGCAGUAAUGCGUGUAGCUGACCAGUACUAAUAACCCAAUUGGCUUGAUUUAUG